rnacentral:misc_RNA from 1 species
GUCGUCCUUCGCAGAGAUCGAUAUUAAGUACCGUAAGUUUAAAGGUAGGCCGAGGAGUCGUGCGAAGGGCUGGGGUGCUCGUCUGGCUAAGUGACGAACUGGCCCCCUCUGUCAAAUCGACUCUUCGCUCCCGCGCUUCGGUGUCAUUGUUACAGUGCUAGCAAGGCAGUCCUUCACCGCAUCGCGUACGACGCCAAACACGGCAGACCACCGCGAACUCGUUGACUCCAUCGUAUUCGCCGCCGCCCAAACAGUGAGCGCGGCCGCGGCGUCGAUUCGCACGGCAUUCACAAGGUGAGGCAGUAAUUGUGGCGGCAGCUGCCCGGACGUCAAGUCGCUAUGUUCUCGCGUAGUGCUUGGCGCCUGGUGGAGAAGACAGCCAUUGCAGCUGCCAGGCAUGAGGCCCCCAACAGCGACAAUGCGCGCCACGAGAGCCACCCCUCCGCCUCCAUGUCAUCAUCGGCUGCCACCGGUGCUUCCGCAGCCUCCUCUCCUGUCGCUACGCCUGCGUCGACGUCGUGGAUGGCGGGGGCGGCGUGGGCCAGCCUGGGCAACGAGUUCAAGAGUGUUGCGGAGGACAAGUUUUUGAAGCCCGUUCCGGACCAAUUCCUGACGCCUCGGGCCACGACCGACAUCCAACCCGCCGAGGAGCUGCUGUCAAAGCUGGUGGAGGAGAACGCGGAGCGGUACAAGGGCAUCGACGUUCGAGACCCAUCCUCGAUGGCCAUCUACGAGGGCGAACGGCCGCGGUGGAUGACGAUGGGCGGUCAAGUGCGUGCUGUAUCGGAGUUCAUCUCUGGCCACCUAUGCCACCACAUCUCGCUGCCCGAGUGGAAGGAUCUGUUCGACCUAGAGUACGCGGAGAUGGACCUGACGUACUGGCUGUACGUGCUGCAUGUGCACCUCGUCAGCCGCCGCGCGACGAGCAUCCCGAUCGAGAAGUUCAACCGCCGCCGCGAAGUGCUGGAAGAGCUGCUGGUGACUAUGUUUGAUGGCUGGGCGGCUACGUCCGAGGACAUCAUGGGCCGCCCGCCACUGAACAAGAUUAAGUACUACAUCCGCGACAUGUACUACGUGACCGCGGUUAACUUUGAGGAGGCGCUGUUGCACGAUGGGCCAGGGGCGGAUAUGAUGCUCAUGGGGUUCCUGAUGAAGUUCUGCCCGCUUCCGCGGCCGGAGGAUGUGCCGAUGUUCACGUACUACACCCUUGUCCAUUACGUCCGCUUUCACACGGCUCUCUUCGACCGCAUUCCGGACGAGGAGUUCGCCAAGGGGAACUUCAACUUCUUAAGCCCGACCGACCCGCUCAUCUUCAGCAAGUACAGCGAUAUCGCGUACGACGAGGUUAUUCGCGGCUGGACUGUGGAGGAGGUGGAGGAAGGUGCCGGUGAAGCGGUACCGGCUCAUUCGUAGCGUCGUUCUGCUGCCGCGCACUCGUGUGGUGCCGCUUCGUUUUCCCUUUCUGCAGCGCUAAGCACGCACAGUGUUGGGCUGCCUUGUGGUCGUUGUGCUGCCGGUGGCUGUGUGGAUGCCCCCCUCCCUCCCUCCCCCUCCCUUCUUUCGUAGUCGUUUGCUGUUCUGUUCCGUGGCUGCGUCCCACAGACCUCGCGUUUUUCCUUCCCCUUCACGCUCCCCCCUCCUCGAUGCACGUUCUCCUCCCGUUGAGGAGUCACACUCUUCUUCGUGUUGUUAGCGCUUCGCGACAGCACGAAGUUGAGAGGAAAAACGCGUCCGGUAGAGGCCUAUGAACGUGACGGUUGAGGGAUGCCAGAAGAGAAAUCAGGGACGGAGCAGUAAGGUAUUCGUGCCUGCUCGAGGCGUGUCGAUCGCUUCAAGGCGUGUUGUUGGGUGGUGGCGUGUCUGUAUGUGUGUGCCUCUCUCUGGCUGAGCAAGGACGCUUUCUCUCUUGCUCGCUCGGUGGUGAGUGCCCUUCUCUUGGCGAUCCAAAGCACUUGCGCGUGGGCAUCGUUCUCCACGCACGUCUGUGGUGGCUUCGGUAUUGCUGUCCGGUUGUGGGGUUGUCGACGUUCACAUUCUUUCCGUUUUUGGUGAUUCCCUUGCUAAAAAAAAAC